CCUACGGGAGGCUGCAGUGGGGAAUAUUGGACAAUGGGGGCAACCCUGAUCCAGCCAUGCCGCGUGUGUGAAGAAGGCCCUCGGGUUGUAAAGCACUUUCAGUGAGGAAGAACGCCUGGUGGUUAAUACCCAUCAGGAAAGACAUCACUCACAGAAGAAGCACCGGCUAACUCCGUGCCAGCAGCCGCGGUAAUACGGAGGGUGCGAGCGUUAAUCGGAAUUACUGGGCGUAAAGCGCGCGUAGGUGGCUUGAUAAGCCGGUUGUGAAAGCCCCGGGCUCAACCUGGGAACGGCAUCCGGAACUGUCAAGCUAGAGUGCAGGAGAGGAAGGUAGAAUUCCCGGUGUAGCGGUGAAAUGCGUAGAGAUCGGGAGGAAUACCAGUGGCGAAGGCGGCCUUCUGGACUGACACUGACACUGGGGUGCGAAAGCGUGGGUAGCAAACAGGAUUAGAUACCCCUGUAGUC
rnacentral:rRNA from 1 species